GUCCGUGUGGAUGAGAGCGUCCCUAAGGCAAGCAGCUCCCAGAGGUCUCUCUCCUAAAGUGAUCCUAAAGCUAACUGCUGGGUGAACUCAGCUGUCGCCAGAUAAUCCAGUUCUGAGCUGACAACAACUAGAGAGAGAGACACCAUGCCGUUCCGUCGCCGCCGCGCUUACAUGGCUGACGCCGGGGCUGCCUGUCCUCACUGAGGACAUCUUUUCGCCUCAGAUGACAAGCAGAGGAGUGGCUUGACGAGCCGUGCGCCUGGGAGUGUGCCGAAGAACGUGUGCCGAAGAACGUGUGCCAAAGAACGUGUGCCGAAGAACGUGUGCCCAGCUGCAGACAGGAGCUAGGUAGGAGCAGCCUAGCCUGCUGCCCUCUGCAGUGCUCAACCAAUGAUUCUUUAAUAGAUAUGUGUUAUAUAUC